rnacentral:lncRNA from 1 species
UGACAGAAGCAUAGAUUUUUCAUUUCAGCUUGUAAAACUUCGUCUUUUGGAUUUUUCUUAAGUGGGCCUGGUGUAUAGCUAUAAAUGAAAGUAUGUACCUGGUAUAAGGCAGUUCAUAUAGAUCAGUAAUCGCAACUAAAAAGUCUAUGCAUUUUCCUGUAAACCCUGUGUAGUUUGAGGCUAUAGUGCACUGUUUUCAUUCAUUUAUAUGCUUAACUAAGCAUUUGCUGAAUGCUACUUACUGGUUUUACUCCAGUGUUUAAAGUUGACUAAGUGUUCAGUAGACAUUUUGCAUCCAGAAGAGAAAAAUUAGAUUUAUGUAUUCUGAUCAGAUAAUACCUAGGGAAGAGUUAUGAAGAAUGCUUUCAUUUGUGCUCAUAGAAUUUUAACAUAAAAUGAUGUAAACUUAAAUAUAAACUUGUAAAGUUUUUGAAACAAGAAAACAAACUAGAUUAAGUUAAAUAGAUUUUCCUUUGGGAAAAUUUUUAAUUUAACCCACCUUUCUCCUCUAGGUUAAAUACACUUACUAUAUUUACAAAAAGGGAAAAGAAAAAUGAUGCGCGGUGGGAGGUUUUUUGUUGUUGUUUUGUUUUUCAUGGAACUACAAGGGGUUUAUGUUUUCAUUUUAUGUUUCUGCUAAUAACAUUUGCCACUCUUAACAAUUCUCUUUAUCAUCCUGUGUGUUUUAAGUCCUCUGUUUAUUCUGAUGACACAUUUUGUAGUCUUGCAAAAUCUUCGGGUGGGAUUUAUCUGUUUCAUUCACUAGUGUGAGAGUGUGUGUGUGUGUGUGUGGUAUAUACAUACAUACAUGUCUUGAUUAGGACUCUGACUGCACUUAACAGAUAUAAAAUGUCAAUUGACAUAUGUAGUCAUAUAUAUCCCAUCAUCCAUACAAGAGAGCUUAAAAGAGGCAUCAUGGCAAUUAAAGCAUCCCACUGAGAACUGAUGCUUCAUCCAUAAAGUCCACUUACAGGAAAGUCUAGUUACUGUAACUUAGGACAUGCCAAAAAGCUUAAAAAGGAAAUUCAUACCUGUGAGAUAAAAAAUAUAAAGGGAUGAGUCAUGGUAACACUGUUGCACUCCAUGUCUUGGGGCUCCUUUCAAUGUAAGAAUGAAAGAUAACAUACACUUUGUUGAGCUGUCCUCCAUUUUAGACCCGACCCCCCCCCCCCCCCGUUUAAGUUCCUUAAUAAGAUGCUAUUCCUAAACCUGCUGUAUGUGCUCAACAGCUGCAUUUGAGAAUGAGUGGAUUCAGUUCAAGGUCAUCGGUGGAACCAGUCUUUGACAGUGAUGACCCUAGUAUAAUUAAUGUUUACAUUUCAAAGAAACAGGCUAGUCCAUAACGCUGCUCUUCAAUCUGGGCUAUGGAGCAGAUCACAUUCAAGCUAAGCCAUUUUUUGAUACUAUGCUGUGACUGUUACUAGAGUAUCUCCUGGUUACUGAAAUCUUUGGUUUUUGGUCCUGACUACUAACAUAUUUGGGUAGGUGUUAGUGUAGUCAUCUUGCCUUCCUCUACAACUAAACAGGAUUUGUUCAGAAAGGUAAUUGGCAAAAGGUUUAUCUUUUCUAUGCAAUCACCAGAUUUUUAUUUGUUUUUAUAUUUGUGUGAUGUAUGGAACCUCAUAGAUACAACGGACCUUUUGUAAAUAGAGCAAUGGCAUAUUUAUUAAAUAAGUUGGAUUUGUGU